CCGUCCGUCGAGCCGGAUUCGAACCAGCGACCUAAGGAUAGCCAUUUUAAGUACCUACAGUCCUCCGCUCUA